rnacentral:tRNA from 1 species
GCGGCAGUGGCGGAACUGGCAGACGCGCUAGGUUCAGGGUCUAGUGGGCUGGCGCCCGUGGGGGUUCAAAUCCCUUCUGCCGCA